CCUUCGGGGAACGAUAACGGCGUCGAGCGGCGGACGGGUGAGUAAUGCCUAGGAAAUUGCCCUGAUGUGGGGGAUAACCAUUGGAAACGAUGGCUAAUACCGCAUGAUGCCUACGGGCCAAAGAGGGGGACCUUCGGGCCUCUCGCGUCAGGAUAUGCCUAGGUGGGAUUAGCUAGUUGGUGAGGUAAGGGCUCACCAAGGCGACGAUCCCUAGCUGGUCUGAGAGGAUGAUCAGCCACACUGGAACUGAGACACGGUCCAGACUCCUACGGGAGGCAGCAGUGGGGAAUAUUGCACAAUGGGCGCAAGCCUGAUGCAGCCAUGCCGCGUGUAUGAAGAAGGCCUUCGGGUUGUAAAGUACUUUCAGCAGUGAGGAAGGUUCAUACGUUAAUAGCGUAUGGAUUUGACGUUAGCUGCAGAAGAAGCACCGGCUAACUCCGUGCCAGCAGCCGCGGUAAUACGGAGGGUGCGAGCGUUAAU
rnacentral:rRNA from 1 species